GAUGAAGAACGCAGCGAAAUGCGAUAAGUAGUGUGAAUUGCAGAAUUCAGUGAAUCAUCGAAUCUUUGAACGCACAUUGCGCCCCUUGGUAUUCCAUGGGGCAUGCCUGUUCGAGCGUCAUUUGUACCUUCAAGCUCUGCUUGGUGUUGGGUGUUUGUCUCGCCUCUGCGUGUAGACUCGCCUCAAAACAAUUGGCAGCCGGCGUAUUGAUUUCGGAGCGCAGUACAUCUCGCGCUUUGCACUCAUAACGACGACGUCCAAAAGGACAUUUUUACACUCUUGACCUCGGAUCAGGUAGGGAUACCCGCUGAACUUAAGCAUAUCAAUAAGCGGAGGA
rnacentral:misc_RNA from 1 species